rnacentral:rRNA from 1 species
CCAAUAGCGUAUAUUAAAGUUGUUGCAGUUAAAAAGCUCGUAGUUGAAUUUCGAGACCGGUUUACUGGUCGUGCUUUUGUACGUACUGGUAUUAUUGGUUUCUCCUUUCUGACGAAUCAUAAUGCCAUUAAUUUGGUGUUUUGGGGAAUCAGGACUGUUACUUUGAAAAAAUUAGAGUGUUUAAUGCAGGCUCACGCUUGAAUACAUUAGCAUGGAAUAACGAAAUAGGACGUUUGAUUUUAUUUUGUUGGUUUCUAGGAUCGACGUAAUGAUUAAUAGGGAUAGUUGGGGGCAUUAGUAUUCAAUUGUCAGAGGUGAAAUUCUUGGAUUUAUUGAAGACUAACUACUGCGAAAGCAUUUGCCAAGGAUGUUUUCAUUAAUCAAGAACGAAAGUUAGGGGAUCGAAGACGAUCAGAUACCGUCGUAGUCUUAACCAUAAACUAUGCCGACUAGGGAUCGGAUGAUGUUAAUUUUUUAAUGACUCAUUCGGCGCCUUACG